AGUGAACGCUGGCGGUAGGCCUAACACAUGCAAGUCGAACGGCAGCACAGGAGAGCUUGCUCUCUGGGUGGCGAGUGGCGGACGGGUGAGGAAUACAUCGGAAUCUACUUUGUCGUGGGGGAUAACGUAGGGAAACUUACGCUAAUACCGCAUACGACCUACGGGUGAAAGCAGGGGAUCUUCGGACCUUGCGCGAUUGAAUGAGCCGAUGUCGGAUUAGCUAGUUGGCGGGGUAAAGGCCCACCAAGGCGACGAUCCGUAGCUGGUCUGAGAGGAUGAUCAGCCACACUGGAACUGAGACACGGUCCAGACUCCUACGGGAGGCAGCAGUGGGGAAUAUUGGACAAUGGGCGCAAGCCUGAUCCAGCCAUACCGCGUGGGUGAAGAAGGCCUUCGGGUUGUAAAGCCCUUUUGUUGGGAAAGAAAUCCAGCCGGCUAAUACCUGGUUGGGAUGACGGUACCCAAAGAAUAAGCACCGGCUAACUUCGUGCCAGCAGCCGCGGUAAUACGAAGGGUGCAAGCGUUACUCGGAAUUACUGGGCGUAAAGCGUGCGUAGGUGGUUAUUUAAGUCCGUUGUGAAAGCCCUGGGCUCAACCUGGGAACUGCAGUGGAUACUGGAUGACUAGAAUGUGGUAGAGGGUAGCGGAAUUCCUGGUGUAGCAGUGAAAAUGCGUAGAGAUCAGGAGGAACAUCCAUGGCGAAGGCGGCUACCUGGACCACAUUGACACUGGAGGCACGAAAGCGUGGGGGAGCAAACAGGAUUAGGAUACUCCGGUAGUGCCAGGGCGAAUUCCUCAGUGGAUAUCAUGCUUAUCAAUUCCGUCGACCUCGAGG
rnacentral:rRNA from 1 species